rnacentral:rRNA from 1 species
GAUGAACGCUGGCGGCGUGCCUAAUACAUGCAAGUCGAGCGAACAGACGAGGAGCUUGCUCCUCUGACGCUAGCGGCGGACGGGUGAGUAACACGUGGAUAACCUACCUAUAAGACUGGGAUAACUUCGGGAAACCGGAGCUAAUACCGGAUAAUAUAUUGAACCGCAUGGUUCAAUAGUGAAAGACGGUUUUGCUGUCACUUAUAGAUGGAUCCGCGCCGCAUUAGCUAGUUGGUAAGGUAACGGCUUACCAAGGCAACGAUGCGUAGCCGACCUGAGAGGGUGAUCGGCCACACUGGAACUGAGACACGGUCCAGACUCCUACGGGAGGCAGCAGUAGGGAAUCUUCCGCAAUGGGCGAAAGCCUGACGGAGCAACGCCGCGUGAGUGAUUAAGGUCUUCGGAUCGUAAAACUCUGUUAUUAGGGAAGAACAAAUGUGCAAGUAACUAUGCACGUCUUGACGGUACCUAAUCAGAAAGCCACGGCUAACUACGUG